ACACAUGCAAGUCGAGGGGUAUAGUUCUUCGGAGCUAGAGACCGGCGCACGGGUGCGUAACGCGUAUGCAAUCUACCUUUUACAGAGGGAUAGCCCAGAGAAAUUUGGAUUAAUACCUCAUAGUAUGUGAGAAUCGCAUGGUUUUCACAUUAAAGUCACAACGGUAAAAGAUGAGCAUGCGUCCCAUUAGCUAGAUGGUAAGGUAACGGCUUACCAUGGCAACGAUGGGUAGGGGUCCUGAGAGGGAGAUCCCCCACACUGGUACUGAGACACGGACCAGACUCCUACGGGAGGCAGCAGUGAGGAAUAUUGGACAAUGGGCGCAAGCCUGAUCCAGCCAUGCCGCGUGCAGGAUGACGGUCCUAUGGAUUGUAAACUGCUUUUGUACAGGAAGAAACACUCCCUCGUGAGGGAGCUUGACGGUACUGUAAGAAUAAGGAUCGGCUAACUCCGUGCCAGCAGCCGCGGUAAUACGGAGGAUCCAAGCGUUAUCCGGAAUCAUUGGGUUUAAAGGGUCCGUAGGCGGUUUAAUAAGUCAGUGGUGAAAGCCCAUCGCUCAACGGUGGAACGGCCAUUGAUACUGUUAAACUUGAAUUAUUAGGAAGUAACUAGAAUAUGUAGUGUAGCGGUGAAAUGCUUAGAGAUUACAUGGAAUACCAAUUGCGAAGGCAGGUUACUACUAAUGGAUUGACGCUGAUGGACGAAAGCGUGGGUAGCGAACAGGAUUAGAUACCCUGGUAGUCCACGCCGUANACGAUGGAUACUAGCUGUUGGGAGCAAUCUCAGUGGCUAAGCGAAAGUGAUAAGUAUCCCACCUGGGGAGUACGUUCGCAAGAAUGAAACUCAAAGGAAUUGACGGGGGCCCGCACAAGCGGUGGAGCAUGUGGUUUAAUUCGAUGAUACGCGAGGAACCU
rnacentral:rRNA from 1 species